rnacentral:rRNA from 1 species
CGCGAAUCGCCCUUCGGGGCGCAGCAGGCGCGAAAACUUUACAAUGCUGGCAACAGCGAUAAGGGGACCUCGAGUGCCAGGAUACAAUCUUGGCUGUCGCGAUGCCUAAAAAGCAUUGCAUAGCAAGGGCCGGGCAAGACCGGUGCCAGCCGCCGCGGUAACACCGGCGGCUCGAGUGGUAACCGCUAUUAUUGGGUCUAAAGGGUCUGUAGCCGGCCGGAUAAGUCUUUUGGGAAAUCCAGCUGCUCAACAGUUGGGCUUUCAGAAGAUACUGUUCGGCUCGAGACCGGGAGAGGUGAGAGGUACUUCAGGGGUAGGGGUGAAAUCUUGUAAUCCUUGAAGGACCACCAGUGGCGAAGGCGUCUCACCAGAACGGAUCUGACGGCAAGGGACGAAAGCUAGGGGCACGAACCGGAUUAGAUACCCGGGUAGUCCUAGCCGUAAACGAUACUCGCUAGGUGUCAGCCACGGUGCGACCGUGGUUGGUGCCGUAGGGAAGCCGUGAAGCGAGCCACCUGGGAAGUACGGCCGCAAGGCUGAAACUUAAAGGAAUUGGCGGGGGAGCAC